CCUACGGGCGGCUGCAGUGGGGAAUAUUGGACAAUGGGGGGAACCCUGAUCCAGCGACGCCGCGUGAGUGAAGAAGUAUUUCGGUAUGUAAAGCUCUAUCAGCAGGGAAGAAAGAAAUGACGGUACCUGAGUAAGAAGCCCCGGCUAACUACGUGCCAGCAGCCGCGGUAAUACGUAGGGGGCAAGCGUUAUCCGGAUUUACUGGGUGUAAAGGGAGCGUAGACGGCGAUGCAAGUCUGAAGUGAAAGGCGGGGGCCCAACCCCCGGACUGCUUUGGAAACUGUAUGGCUGGAGUGCAGGAGAGGUAAGUGGAAUUCCUAGUGUAGCGGUGAAAUGCGUAGAUAUUAGGAGGAACACCAGUGGCGAAGGCGGCUUACUGGACUGUAACUGACGUUGAGGCUCGAAAGCGUGGGGAGCAAACAGGAUUAGAUACCCGGGUAGUC
rnacentral:rRNA from 1 species